rnacentral:rRNA from 1 species
AGUGAACGCUGGCGGUAGGCCUAACACAUGCAAGUCGAACGGCAGCACAGUAAGAGCUUGCUCUUACGGGUGGCGAGUGGCGGACGGGUGAGGAAUACAUCGGAAUCUACUUUUUCGUGGGGGAUAACGUAGGAAACUUACGCUAAUACCGCAUACGACCUACGGGUGAAAGCAGGGGAUCUUCGGACCUUGCUCGAUUGAAUGAGCCGAUGUCGGAUUAGCUAGUUGGCGGGGUAAAGGCCCACCAAGGCGACGAUCCGUAGCUGGUCUGAGAGGAUGAUCAGCCACACUGGAACUGAGACACGGUCCAGACUCCUACGGGAGGCAGCAGUGCGGAAUAUUGGACGAUGGGCGCAAGCCUGAUCCAGCCAUACCGCGUAGGUGAAGAAGGCCUUCGGGUUGUAAAGCCCUUUUGUUGGGAAAGAAAAGCAGCAGGUUAAUACCCCGCUGUUCUGACGGUACCCAAAGAAUAAGCACCGGCUAACUUCGUG